rnacentral:rRNA from 1 species
UACGUAGGGAGCAAGCGUUGUUCGGAUUUACUGGGCGUAAAGGGCGCGUAGGCGGCGUGUCAAGUCGAUUGUGAAAUCUCCGGGCUUAACUCGGAACGGCCAAUCGAUACUGACGUGCUAGAGUGCAGAAAGGGCAAUCGGAAUUCUUGGUGUAGCGGUGAAAUGCGUAGAUAUCAAGAGGAACACCUGAGGCGAAGGCGGGUUGCUAGGCUGACACUGACGCUGAGGCGCGACAGCGUGGGGAGCAAACAGG